rnacentral:lncRNA from 1 species
AAAGGAGUAUUCUGAGAGUUAAUCAUGCAGAGUCUCCCCUACAACGGCUGGAGGAAGUAAGAGAAAACCUUUGUCAGGUGUCUACUAGUUCAAGAACUAUGGAUGCAUGCUCUCUACCUUUUCCUCAUUUUAUCCUCAAAAAUCCAUGGAAAGGUAGGUACUAGGAUCCCCAUGUCUUAGCUGAAAAAACAGACUUAGAGUUAUUUAGUAAUUUUCAAAAUGCAAUGCAGGUAGCAAAGGACCUGUUGCC